rnacentral:rRNA from 1 species
AGAGAGAGGGUGAUAGCCCCGUACACGAAAACCUGGCUGUGGUACUGAGCUUGCGACAAGUAGGUCGGGACACGUGAUAUCCUGACUGAAGACGGGGGGACCAUCCUCCAAGGCUAAAUACUCCUGACUGACCGAUAGUGAACCAGUACCGUGAGGGAAAGGCGAAAAGAACCCCGGAGAGGGGAGUGAAAUAGACCCUGAAACCGUAUGCGUACAAGCAGUCGGAGCGCUGCGCCUCAAUCGCUUUGCGAUUGAGAGCUUGCGUUCCUCCUUCAGAAGACAGAGGACGGAAGACAGAGGACAGAAUGUCCUGGUCUGUCUUUGGUUCUUGCGUGUUUGCUGCAGGAGGGGGUAGGCAGUGAGUUUGGGUGAAAGAAGGGUUUGGCAACGCGCAGCGUUGUCUCUGUCUUCUGUCCUCUGACAUCUGUCUUCUGAGCGAAGCCUCAAUAACAGAGUUAUUGAGGCGCAGCGUCACGGCGUACCUUUUGUAUAAUGGGUCAGCGACUUAAUGUUUGUAGCGAGCUUAACCGAGUAGGGGAGGCGCAG